CCUAAUUUUAAAUGAAUCAUUGCGAAUCUUACUUAAAAACAAACCGCUACGAGCCGGAUUGCCCUAGAGCCGUGAACAGGCGGAGCAGAAGGAUACAAUGCACCCGUGAGGCACAAGCUAGAUCGCCGAAAACACCUGUUCUUUUUUAACAUUUAUCAACUCAGACGUGCUUUUCUACCUAACGUAUGGAUCUUCCCCUGAACGUGUGCCAAUACCACAAAACUACUACACCCUGCUCUCGAAGCU
rnacentral:lncRNA from 1 species